UUUAGUGAGAGUUUGAUCCUGGCUCAGGACGAACGCUGGCGGCGUGCCUAACACAUGCAAGUCGAGCGAGUGG
rnacentral:rRNA from 2 species